rnacentral:misc_RNA from 1 species
UCACUACUUGCGUAGGCAGUUGAUCCAGAGUUCCCACCAUUAUGUGCUGGCAACUGAAUCCAAGGGUUGCGCUCGUUGCUGGACUUAACCAAACACCUCACGGCACGAGCUGACGACAGCCAUGCAGCACCUGUACACCCCCCCUUGCGGGUACCUUGCUUUCGCAAGUUUAGAGUGCUUUUCAAGCCUAGGUAAGGUUCUUCGCGUUGCAUCGAAUUAAACCACAUGCUCCACUGCUUGUGCGGGCCCCCGUCAAUUCCUUUGAGUUUCACCCUUGCGAGCGUACUCCCCAGGUGGUACACUUAACGCGUUAGCUCCGACGCCGACCUGAAAGGCCGACAUCAAGUGUACAUCGUUUAGGGCAUGGACUAC